CGGGAAGGACAUGGAGCUGCUGGAGUGACUCCAGAGGAGGGCCACCAAGAUGAUUAGAAGGGUGGAACAUCUCUCCUAUGAGGAAAGACUGAGAGAAUUGGGAUUAUUCAGCCUAGAAACGAGAUUUAGGAGUGACUUAAUUGGGGCAUUCCAGUAUCUGAAGAGGAGCCUUACAAGAAAGCUGGAGAGGGAUGUUUUACCAGGGCACGUAAUGACAGGACAAGGGGGAAAUGGCUCCAAGCUGAAAGAGAGCAGAUGUAGAUUAGAUAUCAAGAAAAAAAUCUUUACUGUGAAGGUGGUGAGGGACUACCCCAGGUUUCCCAGAGAAGUUGUAGAUGUCUCAUCCCUGGAGGUGUUCAAGACCCAGGGUGGAUGGAGCUCUGAGCAACCUGGUCUAAUGGAAAGUGUCCCUUCCCAUGGCAAAGGGGUUGGAACUAGAUGACCUUUCAAGUCUCUUGCAGCCCAAACCAUUCCAUGAUAUGCAGCAGCUUUCUCAGCUAUUAAAUGGGCUAGUGUGGGAGUAGCUCAAAGGUGUAGAGCUCUUGGUAGGAAAUUGCUGAGCAGAGGCAGCAGAAUUCAGAAUAGUCAGUAUAUCAAAUGACUCCGAUAAUCAGGCAACUGUAUGAUCAAAGCACACUAUAUGGAAACAUAGGGGAUUCUUUUAUGUGUAAUUACUAAAUAGGUCAGGUCAGUCUCUAAUUUGGCAAAGCUCAUAUACAUGAACACAUAGUUAAGGAUUAGAACUAACUGAAUACAAAAAUUGUAUUUCUACAAUCGCUCACACACCUGAAGUGUCCCUUCACACUGGAGUAUCAUCAUUGCACUUUCAUAGUAUCAGUGAAUUUAAGGGGGUUUUACUAACACCACAGCAUUUUCUAAAUUUCAGGAAGGAAAUGUGGAUAAUAUGUGUGAAUGUAUGUACAAACAUACAUGCAUACACAUAUAUAUGUAUGUAUGUGUGCGCUUGUAUAUAUACAGUCAGCAAAUGAGGCAGUUACAGCAUGUAGCAAGCUUUAAAAUAUUUUCAAAAGUGAAAUUAAUUAUUUCCUGUUGGUUUUUGUUUUGUUUUUUCCUUUUUCAGUAAAGAAGUAAGAACAAGAAAAAUUACAGAUUUUUUCUAUGUUCUUCAUAAGUGCAGAUCUGCAUUUAACCAACAACAAAUAUAAGCAUAAGAACUGCUGGAGUAGAGUCAACACACAGUGCAAUUGGAAAAACUGAGAAGGAAGACUGUGCUACAUUCUCCUGGUUUAAUUUUUCCAGCACGUGAAGCCUCUCCAGGAUCACACUCCUGCUCUGUCACUCCCUCAGCAGAGUCGUGGAUGCUGGUCACUGCUGCUGCCGUGGCGCACGUGGCUUGUGCACUGCACCCAGGGCUUCUGAAUCAGCACAGUUUCACUCUGAGAAAGAAUGAACCAGGUCAUUGAGAUAAAAAAUGGCCCGGACAGAAAUAUAUGAUGGGAUCUUCACUGUUGGAGGCAAGUAGACUGACAUUGAUGACUAAAUGGGAGACUACCAUCUACUAUCUUUGCUGUGUUUAGUAUAUGGCUCUUUUUCCCCCCCACAUUCUAUUUUGAAGUUAGAGUUGCAAUAAGAUGCAACUUUAUGCUUUAUUUUAAAGCAUAAAGCUAAAAUACUAAGAUGAUGUAGUCAGUUUUUGAUAAAAAACUUCUAAGAAGGACAAGAAUGAACAACUCCUUCCAGCUCAGAACGAAGCCCCCUAGCAAGAGCCAACAUCAUGACAGAAGGAACCCAAAACUUUAAAGCUGCUUAAGAAGGAGCUGUGGCAUGAAAGAGAAACAAUCUAAGAAAUGCUGCCCAUUGUUUUAAGCAAGCUCAGACACAGGAGACCAACUGAAAAAGACGUCUGUCCAUGCUAAACAGGUCACUGGACAACUAUCUGCAUCACAAAUGUGCUUGGGAACCAAAGACUGGAAGAGACUACCGAGAUCCUGAUGGACUGUCAAGUCCAACUCUCUCCAUACCAGUCAGCCAUGCAUUAGAAAUUUUGUCCAGAACAGCCUAUGGGAUAUGCUUCUUUGCAUGUCCUGCAUACCCAAUCUACAAAACACCUAUGGAACUCUAUCACAGAAUGAAGAUUCCCUAUAAACAAAAACGUCAGAAGGUAUCGCUUGGGGAAGAUGUAACAAGUCUGGAAACUGCAAACUUUCCUUCAAAAGAAAUUACCUUUCAGAGUGACUAUGUAGCACUCUCCUUUACUUCCCUUACAAAAUAUCCUGUAAAGAUAAUUUGGCAUGCAUGCAGAUGACAUACAGUUUUUCUACUGAGAUUUAAAUAUGAGCUGUUACAGUGUAUUAGAUCUCACCCUCAUUAAAGUAUCUCUUGCAGAUAAGUAUCUAUGAGAGAAAAUUCAUAUCAUGAUUGGCCUGUGUGACUCACACUGCCAGGCUGAUAGGGUUCAGGAGCUGCUUCCAGGACAUGUCAGCUCUGCAGGCUGCAUAACCACAUCAGACACCUCGAAGUAACUUGUCCCUGUUUGAGUGACACUCCUUUUCAGAUAACAGCUGAGACCUCAGAGAGAGGCAAAGCCUGCAAUACCUGUUCUGCAGAUAAAAAGAUCUUAAGUCUCCCAUGAGGCCAACCCAGCUGAUUCUACAUGCAGUAAUACAAAGCAUAUUUUAAAUACAAUUUUAAUUAUUCCUCUGGUAUAGAUACAAGCACUGAAUUUAGUUUGUCACAGAUUUCACCAAUAUUUAUACAUAAUCUGACACAUAAAUUAUAAAAAAAGAAACACAAUCUAAGUUUGAAUUGUACUUGCAGUACAGCUGCAAUUCAAAUUAGACAUGUGUCUCUCAAACAAAAACCACUCCAGUCAACAUCUACAGAUUUGGAAGUAUUUUAGUUAUUUCAGUCUAAGAAAGGUUUGCAACAUUCUAGGGCUCUUAGCUAGAAUGUAAGAGAUAAAAUCUCACAAAGAAGAAAUGGCAUGACUACAUAUUUUCAGAACUGCUUCACCAAGAAUUAAAAAUAAAUGUUACAUAGAACUAUAGGCAAAUAAUGUACUUCUCUGUCCAACUCUAAACAAGUUGACUUUCUGGAUGCAGAGAUCUAAUGGCACUUUAUGUGUGGAUGAAAGUAGAAUCAUAGGAUAUUCUGAGUUAGAAGGGACUGACAAAGAUCAUUGAGUCCAGCUCCUGGCCCUGCACAGAAAAUCCCAAGUCACAUCCUGUGCCCAAGAGUAUUGUCCAAAAGCUUCCUGAACUCUGUCAUUCACCCAGCUUAGCGCUGUGACCACUGCCCUGGGGAGCCUGUUCUGGUGCCCAACCACCCUCUGGGUGAAGAACCUUUUCCUGAUAUCCCACCUAAGCCUCCCCUGGCACAGCUUCAGGCCACUCUCUCAGGUCCCUCAGGACCUGUCACUGGGCACCAGAGAGAAGAGCUCAGUGCCUGCUGCUCCUCUUCCCCUCACAAGGAAAUUGUUGACUGCAGUGAGGUGCCCCUCAGCCUCCUCCAGGCUGAACAGACCAAGUGACCUCAGCUGCUCCCAAUAUGCCUUCCCCUCCAUGCCCUUCACCAAAUGUAGAAUAAAAUGGGUUAAACUGGUAUUAAAGCAUUAAUGAAAAUUUAAAAGUGGCUAAAUGAUAGAGGCAUGAAGCACAAGGAGGUGUAGCAAAAGUAACAAGUAUUUUUAAUAUUUUUGUUUAUUGAGCUUCCUAUAGAUUUAUUGCACAAAGCCAUGUAGCAAAUAAAGACCACAUACA